rnacentral:ncRNA from 1 species
UUGUUAUCAUGAAAGCUGGAGAGAUUAGACUCUGUGAAAGCUUAGCAACCCUAUUUCUUAAUAGAAGGUGCUACAUUCUAUUCUGAUUUAUCAGAAAAAGAUAACGU